UGGGAAGUAUUGCACAAUGGGCGCAAGCCAUGAUGCAGCCAUGCCGCGUGUAUGAAGAAGGCCUUCGGGUUGUAAAGUACUUUCAGCGGGGAGGAAGGGAGUAAGGUUAAUAACCUUAUUCAUUGACGUUACCCGCAGAAGAAGCACCGGCUAACUCCGUGCCAGCAGCCGCGGUAAUACGGAGGGUGCAAGCGUUAAUCGGAAUUACUGGGCGUAAAGCGCACGCAGGCGGUCUGUCAAGUCGGAUGUGAAAUCCCCGGGCUCAACCUGGGAACUGCAUUCGAGACUGGCAGGCUGGAGUCUUGUAGA
rnacentral:rRNA from 1 species